AUUUGAUAAUUUCUGCAAGGGAAAGGGUAUAAUGAGGCACAGGACUGUAAGACAUACCCCUCAACAAAAUGGGGUAGCGGAGAGAAUGAAUCGGACUUUAAUAAAUAAAGUCAGGUGUAUGAUGAUUAAUUUUGGGUUGUCUAAAGGUUUCUGGGAUGAAGCCGUGUGCACUGCUGCCUAUUUAAUAAAUAGGUCACCUUCUAGUUCUGUUAACUUUAAGACUCCUCAAGAGUUGUGGUCUGGAAAAUCCCCAGAUUUGUCACAUAUUAGAGUAUUUAGUUGUGCGGCUUAUGCAUAUCAGGUUGAGGUCAAAUUGGACUCUAAGGCUACUAAGUGUGUCAUGUUAAAUUAUCCAGAGAGAGUAAAAUGAUAUAGACUAUGGGUUUUAGGUGUAAAGGGCAUUAAGAUUAUUAACAGUAAAGAUGUAAAGUUCAAUGAACUUGAUAUGCAUUGUCUUAAAAUUCUAGUAAGUCAGAACAAACGGACUGAGGAAGGAGAAUCUUCUACUGGAAAGAAGAUGAAAUUUGAGACAAAGAGAUUAGGUGAUAAUCUAGAGGAUAGUGAAAUCCAACCUCAAGAAGAAUUUGAUCAAGAAGCAGUGAUAGAACAACCUGAAGUUCAAAUUCCUGAAACUAUUGUCUCUAAUCAAGAAACAUCUGCAUGUACUAAUUUGGAUGAUUACCAAUUAGUGAGGGGUAGAGAGAGAAGACAAGUGAAGCCCAAUUUGAAAUACAUCGCUUCAAAUUUGAUGGAAUUUGUCCUAGUUUCAGGUGAAGCUUUGGAGUCAGUUGAACCGACUUCAUUUGAGGAAGCGAUUAACUGUGAAAAUUCUGAAAGUUGAAAAAAGGCAAUGAGAGAAGAGAUCCAGUCUCUAAACAAAAAUGAGACUUGGAAAUUGGUUGAAAAACCAAGAAUCAAAGGGCAGUCCAUUGUAAAUGGAUCUACAAGUUAAAAGAAGUAGUAGGACCUAAAGACCAUUUAACAUACAAAGCUAGGUUAGUUGCGAAGGGAUUUACUCAGAGAGAAAUUUAUAGACUAUAAUGAGAUAUUCUCAUCGAUUAUUAAGUAUAAAACUAUCAGGUUAAUCUUAGCCUUAGUUGUCCAGUAUGAUUGGGAGUUGGAGCAAUUAGAUGUUAAGAUGACUUUUCUUUAUGGGGAGUUAGAUGAACUGAUUUACAUGUCUCAACCUCAAGGGUUCGAAGUGAAGGGAAAAUCAGAACUUGUGUAUUUGCAUAGAAAGUCCUUAUAUGAUCUUAAGCAGAGUCCUAGGCAAUGGUAUAAGAGAAUUGAUGCUUAUAUACUUAAAAUUGAUUUUAAGAGGAGGAAAUUUGAUGCAUGUUUAUAUUUUAAUAACUCUAAAAUAGGCUGUGAAGUUUAUUUAUUGUUAUAUGUGGAUGAUAUGUUGCUUACUAGUCCUAGUAAAGUUGAAAUCAUAAAGAUGAAAAACCUUUUAAAAUUGAGAUUUGAUAUAAAAGACUUAUGAGAGACAAGAAAAAUCAUUGGCAUGGUUAUUAAAAGAAAUAUGGCUGAUAAUAGGAUGACUAUUAAUCAAGAGUCUUAUUUGGAUAAAGUGAUAACCAAAUUUGGUAUGAAAUUUGCUAAGUCUGUUAAUAUACCAUUAACUGCACACACGAACUUAUCAUCUGCACAAUACCCUAAAACUGAAGAAGAAAUGCAUGAAAUGAGUAAUGUUCCCUAUGCUAAUGCCAUUGGGUCUGUAAUGUAUUCUAUAAUUACCACAAGACCGGACCUUGCAUAUGUAGUUAGUUUCUUGAGUAGGUUUAUGUCUACCCAGGUAAACCACAUUGGACUGCACUUAAAUAGCUAUUAAGAUAUGUAGCUGGAUCUUUGAAAAGGGGAUUAGUGUUUGAAAGAAGAAGUAACAAAUUAGAAUUUAAAGAAUAUGUAGAUUCUGACUUUGCGGGGAAUAAAGAUCAGAGAAAAUCUACCACUUUUUACUUCUUCACUUUAGGUGAUAAUUUUAUCACUUGAAAAUCACAGUUGCAACCUAUAGUUACACUCUCCAACACUGAAGCAGAAUAUGUUGCAUUAAAUGAAGCUGUAAAUGAAUGCAUGUGGCUGAAAGGCCUUCUAUGUGAAUUAAACUUCUUGAAUGAUAAUGCCAUGAUUUUUACUGAUAGUCAAAGUUCAUUGAUGUUGUGUAAAAAUCCUGUUUAUCAUGAACUUACUAAACAUAUUGAGGUGAAGUAUCAGUUCAUUAGGGAGAUGUUAACUUCUGGUGAUUUUAUUUUGCUUAAAAUUAUAACUGAUGAUAACCCUGUAAAUGUUGGAAUAAAAGUACUUGCGGUUAGUAAGUUCAACAUAUGUUUAUCAAUACUAAGUAUUGAUAAUGGUUAAUUAUUGUGCAGGUACUAAGCUGGAGUGAGCGAUGAUGAUAAAAAUAAGACCACACUAAUAGAUAUCAUUUGUAACCGGGGAAUUUGGUGAUGGAUGUUAUGUGAUCCAAUGUGAAGAUUUGUAAGGUGGAUCACAUUCUAUUAUUGGUGCAAGUUGAUUGAUUUAGAGAAUGUGACUUGGAUUGUGCUAGUUAUAGAGUAAUAUAGACCAUAGAUUAAAUCCAAUGGUUGGAUUUAAUUUUGUGGUCAAUUACCUAUACUAGUGUUGUCACUCUCUUAACCAUAGUACAAUAUUUGAAUUUUAAAUUCAAAUGAAUUGACUCUAUAAUUACAAGACAUCUUCAUUCUCUCAUACUUGGAUUUUAGUAUAACAUUUGAGAGAGAGCAUAGAGAGGUAACCAAGUGGGAGCUUUUCAUAAUUCUAGCAAAAUUCUUGGUGGCUUCCCUCGGAUCUUUUCUCGGUAUAUUCAUUGUCAUUCUCGUGGACGACGGUGCAUAAUCCGGUGUGGCACAAAUCUGAGCUCAACAUCAAGAACACUUCAUUGGUGGUGUUGAAGAAGCUUUGAGUCGUUUUGGUUCGAUUUUACACUUUGAGAAUUUAUUAUUCCGCAUUGUAGUUGUAAUAAUAUUUUAUAAACUACACUUUAAACUCUACACAUAUAUUACUGUAAUAAUAAUAAAAAUGAUAUUGAAAAAGUCACCUCUCCCCUAACAAUCAAUCAAUUUUAACUCUUCUCUCACUCCAUUAAAGAACCAAUCCCUAUUUUAUUGCUAAUUAUCCCCAUUCACAACUGAAUUAUUCUUCAUUAUUUUCAUUCCUUUCGUUCGAUCAAAGAAUCACAAGAUUUUAUCCUGAUUCGUCUCUCCCAGUAUACAAGAAAGUUGAUCACAAAAACUUAAUUUACUGAAUCACUAUAAAACCCAAAUUGAAAUACACUCUCACAAAUCACUUUUAAAAAUGUUUAAUAUGUGCUUUUUAACUAUUGCUACCGAAGUUAUAAUCAAUUGACAUUGAAAAACCCCAAAGCCUCGAUGUUCCACAGCUUCAAACUGGAACAUUUAGGCGUGUGAAACCCCAAUGUCUCUGGAGAUAUCAGACCCCAGAAAAUGAAAAUCUAAAGAAUUCAACUCGUCGUAUUAUCCAUCGCAAG
rnacentral:lncRNA from 1 species